rnacentral:misc_RNA from 1 species
GUUGUUAGCAAACCAUUGUAUGUAGCACUUGCACAGCGGAAGGAAGAUAGAAGAGCCAGAUUGCAGGCUCAGUUCUCUCAAAUCCGGCCAGUUGCCAUGGCUGCUUCAGUUGCCCCUCGGAUGCCAAUAUACCCUCCUGGUGGUCCAGGUAUUGGACAGCAGUUGUUUUACGGUCAAGGUCCUCCUGCAAUGAUUCCUUCCCAAGGUGGCUUUGGUUAUCAGCAGCAGCUUGUUCCUGGUAUAAGGCCUGGUGGAGGACCAAUGCCAAAUUUCUUUGUUCCAAUGGUUCAGCAGGGUCAGCAAGGUCAGCGCCCUGGUGGCAGACGUGCAGGAGCUGUCCAGCAAACUCAGCAGCCUGUUCCAAUGAUGCAACAACAGAUGUUGCCUAGAGGAGGACGUGUCUAUCGCUACCCCCCUGGAAGAGGUUUGCCUGAUGUUCCUAUGCCUGGUGUUGCUGGAGGCAUG